rnacentral:rRNA from 1 species
AGUGAACGCUGGCGGUAGGCCUAACACAUGCAAGUCGAACGGCAGCACAGUAAGAGCUUGCUCUUACGGGUGGCGAGUGGCGGACGGGUGAGGAAUACAUCGGAAUCUACUUUUUCGUGGGGGAUAACGAAGGGAAACUUACGCUAAUACAGCAUACGACCUACGGGUGAAAGCAGGGGAUCUUCGGACCUUGCGCGAUUGAAUGAGCCGAUGUCGGAUUAGCUAGUUGGCGGGGUAAAGGCCCACCAAGGCGACGAUCCGUAGCUGGUCUGAGAGGGUGAUCGGCCACACUGGCACUGAGACUCGGUCCAGACUCCUACGGGAGGCAGCAGUGGGGAAUAUUGGACAAUGGGCGCAAGCCUGAUCCAGCCACACCGCGUGGGUGAAGAAGGCCUUCGGGUUGUAGAGCCCUUCUGUUGGGAAAGAAAAGCAGCAGGUUAAUACCCCGCUGUUCUGACGGUACCCAAAGAAUAAGCACCGGCUAACUUCGUG